ACUGGUAAUUUUCCCAUUAUUGCUUGAUACCCCAAGCAUGUAACGGGAAGCAACAACUAUAUAUUGAGUAGCUCCAUUACAAUUUCUAGACAAUCCCAUUAUUUAGUUAAAAAUGCCAUUACAAUCAUCUGAAUGUAAUAUGUGGAGUUAGAAUUACCGUUAUAUGUUUCCCUUUCCCAUACGCCAAUGUCUAUUUUUUUUGUUAUGUUCAUGCUAGCUAUUAUCAUCUUUGGUUAUUUUCUUUUAAAUUAUUCUACUCAAUAGAUGGAUGUAAUCAACCUAUUGCUAUUUUGACUAAUUAUAUGCUUGUAUGGUUUCAGUAGGAAGGGAGAAGAACCUCAAGUUCAUUGUGCAGGAAGAAUCGCAGGGUACUGUAGAAAAUAUCAGGGGACAUUAUUUUCUGGUAUCCCAAUCGACAUUUUUGGUCCCAGACUUUUGGUUGUCCUUUCGACUCCAAUAGAUCUGCCUGUACAGGUCCAAGGCUAGCUACAACUAGAUUAAUCUCACCAAUGAAAGAAUAUCUUUUUUAUGCCUAAGAAGUGAAGCUACAACACGCUAGAGCUAUCGUGCUCGUGGCAAGACGAACCCUUCUUCUGUGAUGAUGGAAUCCAACCUGUUCCCCACAUUCUAAGGCAUCCUUACGGAGUUAUGUUGCUAGAUGGCUAAUGCAACGGUAUGCAUCUUACUUUGCAACGAGAGGCUCACCUUGAGGCUAUCCAAGUUGGACCAGUGCGUGCAACUGAAGCUCACAGCGGCGCUCGCUGACCUCGACUCGUCGAACAAUUGGUGGGCAAGUCAGUUGCCACACUUGAGGUCGACAUCUUCCAAGGGUUGCUCUAUGUGUUCAAGGACAAUGGGCUCAAGCAGGAGAUGGUGACACAGAUCCCCAUCAAAUUUAUUUACCGUCUGCAACGUGUCCUUUUUUCAUGAACACUAUGACAUGUUCUUUUGUUAUAGCUCUUUAGAGUUUUGAGACACAAUGUGCAAAAAACAGAAAUGAUUU